rnacentral:snRNA from 1 species
AUCCUUUGCAGACGACUUAA